rnacentral:rRNA from 1 species
AAAUAAAUUUCCAACGUCUAACACACAUCGUUUACGGCAUGGACUACGAGGGUAUCUAAUCCUCUUCGCUACCCAUGCUUUCGUUCCUCAGUGUCAGUAAUGAUCCAGAAAGCUGCCUUCGCAAUUGGUAUUCUUUCUAAUAUCUACGAAUUUCACCUCUACACUAGAAAUUCUGCUUUCCUCUAUCAUACUCUAGCUGAAAAGUUUUGAUGGCAGUUCCAGAGUUAAGCUCUGGGAUUUCACCACCAACUUUUUCAACCACCUACGAACUCUUUAAGCCCAGUAAUUCCGAACUACGCUAGGUCCCUUCGUAUUACCGCGGCUGCUGGCACGAAGUUAGCCGGACCUUCUUAUUCGGGUACAGUCAUUUUCUUCCCCGACGAAAGAGCUUUACAACCCAAAGGCCUUCUUCACUCACGCGGCAUCGCUGCAUCAGAGUUUCCUCCAUUGUGCAAGAUUCCCCACUGCUGCCUCCCGUAGGAGUUUGGGCCGUGUCUCAGUCCCAAUGUGGCUGAUCAUCCUCUCAAAUCAGCUAUUGAUCAUAGUCUUGGUAGGCCAUUACCCUACCAACAAACUAAUCAAGUGCGGGCUCAUCCAAUGGUGCAUAAAGCUUUCUCCGUAAAGACUUAUCCGGUAUUAGCACAAGUUUCCUCGUGUUAUUCCAGGCCAAAGGGUAGAUACCCACAUGUUACUCACCCGUCUGCCACUAAGUAUUGCUACUUCGUUCGACUUGCAUGUGUUAGGCGUGCCGCCAGCGUACGUUCUGAGCCAGGAUCAAACUCU